UUCGGUGACUAUAUCCUGGGUGAUCACCUCUUCCCAUUCCGAACAGAGAAGUUAAGCCCCAGAGAGCCGAUGGUACUGCGUUUGCGGGAGAGUAGGUCGUUGCCGAUU
rfam:Chloroherpeton thalassium ATCC 35110, complete genome.